CGGACGGGUGAGUAACGCGUGAGAAUCUACCCAUAGCUUGUAACGAAAUGUUGCUGUGUCUAUCACAAGAUAUAUAUCGGCUAUGGAUGAGCUUGCGGGGUAUUAGGUUGUUGGUGUGGUAAUGGCGCACCAAGCCUGAGAUGCCUAGCCGGUUUGAGAGAAUGAUCGGCCACACUGGGACUGAGACACGGCCCAGACGCUUACGAGCGGCAGCAGUGGGGAAUCUUGGACAAUGGGCGCAAGCCUGAUCCAGUGAUAUCGCUUUGGGGAUGACGGCGACAUACGUUGUAAACCCUAUGCACUUUAUAUAGACAUUGACCGUGUAACGUGUCCAAGUCCCGGCUAAUUUCGUGCCAGCAGCCGCGGUAAUACGAGAGGGGCAAGCGUUAUUCAAAAUGAUUGGGCGUAAAGCGCACGUAGGUGGUGGUAUGGUGUGGUAUGUAUUCAAACCAUGGGUUUUGUCGAUAGAUACAGACAUCAUAUCACUUGAGGACGUGAAAGGAGCAUGGAAUUUCCCAGGAAGCGGUAGAAUGUGUUGAUCUGGGAAGGAACACCAAACGCGAAGGCAGUGCUCUUGCACGUACCUGACAUUGAGGUGCGAAAGCGUGGGGA
rnacentral:rRNA from 1 species